CGAAACAUCUACUGGGGAUGGGGGGCGACGGAGGAGAGGGGCAUGGUGCUCCACGAGGCCGCGGCCGAGGCUGGAGGACGCUGGGCUCAAGGACUGCGCGCCCUUGGGGGGGAUUCCGUAAUGGAGGCCUUCGCCCGAGCCGCCGUCUCCCCACUUCCCACCCGCAUCGGGGAGGACGGCAUCGACGAGGGCCACGGAGAGGCCCUCCGACGAAGACGACGGUGUAUUAGUCCUUGGAUGGGAGGCUUACGAUUUGGAAGGGUAGAAGAACGAGGAGGCUUCCGAUUUCUUCCGAUCUGGAAGAAAUAGAUACCGCCUGAUCUGGCUUCUAAUUCUGUUCGUCGAAAGGUGGAGUUGGUUUUUUAAAACAUGGUCAGGAGGGUGGAACAGCAUAACCAAAUGAGUUCUGAAAGCCUCUGCAAGUAUGAAGCACAGCGGCAAAAACAGCAGUUCGGAUUAUGAAUAGUUCUUGUUUGUCAGUGCGCCCUUACAGAUCUGUUCAAAGAAGUGUCUCACAAGGCUGCAGCUGUUUCUGGUUGUCAGGAUAAGAGGACCACAAGAAUUCAGGGGAUUGGACAACCCAAAAUAUGUGCUCAAGAACUUGGGACUUAAUGUAGAAACGAUGUUGCAUCAAAAUGUGCCACUUGAUGCAUUAUACCUCACCUGAGAAGACCGUCACAUGAAAUGAAAGAGCAACAGGCACAUAAAGCAUCGUGAUGAUGAUUCGAAGCCUUGACCUGAAGCAAGGAACUGGCAUUCGAGGCCAUCUGAUUACCUGGUUGGGUGUGUGUGAUUAAGGUGUGCGGUUAGAGGGACUGAAGCAUGACAAACAAACCAUGCUGCCUUAGCUGAGAUCAGAAACAGUGACUCCUAGGCAUAAUGUGAUAGGCAAUCGUGGGAGAAUUUCAUGGUGUGCUAUGGUCUUUGACUCUCUCUCUCUUUCUUUUUUUUUUUGUGUGUGUUUUUUUAAUGUUUUCAAGUUUUUCUCAUAUGUAAUAUUCACAGGGUGUGCAUUGUCGACACUAAUUUUGCUUUUGACAUUGUUUUUA